GACGAACGCUGGCGGCGUGCUUAACACAUGCAAGUCGAACGAAGAGCGAUGGAAGCUUGCUUCUAUCAAUCUUAGUGGCGAACGGGUGAGUAACGCGUAAUCAACCUGCCCUUCAGAGGGGGACAACAGUUGGAAACGACUGCUAAUACCGCAUACGAUCUAACCUCGGCAUCGAGGGUAGAUGAAAGGUGGCCUCUACAUGUAAGCUAUCACUGAAGGAGGGGAUUGCGUCUGAUUAGCUAGUUGGAGGGGUAACGGCCCACCAAGGCGAUGAUCAGUAGCCGGUCUGAGAGGAUGAACGGCCACAUUGGGACUGAGAAAGGGCCCAGACUCCUGCGGGAGGCAGCAGUGGGGAAUCUUCCGCAAUGGACGAAAUUCUGACGGAGCAACGCCGCGGGAGUGAUGACGGCUUUCGGGUUUUAAAGCUCUUUUAAUCGGGACGAAAGGCCUUCUUGGAAAAAGUUAAAAGGAUUGACGGUACCGGAAUAAAAAGCCAGGGUAAACUACGG
rnacentral:rRNA from 1 species